rnacentral:lncRNA from 10 species
UUCACUGUGAUUAACAGAAUUAAGUUGCCAUGGCCCCCCGGCUUAAAUGUCAGAUAACCUGAGCAUGCCCAGAUCAACCAAGUGUGCAAACAUGCUGGUACCUGUUCUCAGACUGAGAGCAAAGACUGAAUUAAGAAGUGGACACUGGGAAGAUGCAAUGGCUCACUACUGGAAUCCCAACACUUUGGGAGGUUGAGGCAGGAGAAUCACUAGAGCCUGGGAAUUUGAGACCAGCCUGGGCAACAGAGCAAGACCUAGUCUCUACAAAAUAAAAAAUAAAAACUUAACUGGUUGUGGUGGCACACAACUAUGGCCCCAGCUACUCAAGAGGCUGAGGCAAGAGCAUCAUUUGAGCCCAGGAGGUCAAGGCUGCUGUGAGCCAUGGUCAUGCCAUGUGCUCCAACCUGGGCAACAGAGCACCACCCUGUCUCAAAAGAAAAAGGAGGAGAAGGAGAGGGAGAAGAAGAAACAGAGGAUCCAAUCAGAUCAAUCCCUGGCAUUUCCCCAUGGCAGGACCCAGUCAGAUCAUCACCUCACUGAAAGAUCCAAUCAGAUCACACCUCAUUACCUUAUGCUUAUAAAACCUGACCCAACCCCAAACUCAGAGAGACAGAUUUGAGCACUUCCUCUUGUCUUCUUGCUAGUUGACUUGCAAUAAAUCUUUCCUUUUCUCAAAAGCCAGUGGCAUGAUGUUGGCUUCUAUGUGCCUUGGGCAGUGAGCCCAUUGAUUGCUCAUUAAUAAUGUAUCCUCAAAGAGAUCACAGGGAAAGGACUCCUCCCAGAGGAAUUGAAUGAUCAGGUUGAUACUUCCUGCCAACCCCUGGGCAGUUGGCUAACCUCAAGUGAGGAAGAACCACUUCAAGUGAGAGCAGGUCAGGCCGGAAGAGAUCUUUGCAGCAUUGCCUUUUCUGGGGGUCAUUGAGUGGCAAGAGGGAAAGGAAGGGAAUGGGAAAGACCUCCUCACCCUCUCCCCAGUUACUCUGAAAUCCAAGUUUGAGAAGUUGUGUUUUGCCUCAAUCCCAGGAUACAUCAAGCAGGACACUUGACCCAAACCCCAUUCAUCUUUUAGAGCAGAACCAAAUCAUUCCUUCUUCCAUUAAACCAAUAUUUGUUGAACUCCUAUCAUGUGUCAGGAGCUGAUCUUGAUUCUCAUAGUGGAGAAAACAAAGCUUCUACCCUCAUGGAGUUUAUAUUAUUUUUGAGGAUGGAGAUGAAAAAAAAAGCUAACCUAAUAAUGUCAGGCAGUCAUAAUUACUACAAAAACAGACAAAGAAGAAUGGGGUGUAGAGAGCCCAGGGGAUCUUUUGGAUAGAGUAGUUGGCAGUGGCUUCCUGAGGAGCUGACCUUUCAGCAGAGACCAGAGUGAAGUGAGAAAACGUGCCUUGGGGGACAGAUGUCUUGGGAAGGGAAACAGCAUAAAUGGAGUUCCUUGUGGAGAAUGUUUUUCAUGUAUUCAAGCAAGGAGACAGAGUGGUAGGAGAGGGAGCAGGAGAAGAGGAAAAGAGGUUGUAACAUAAUAAUUAUAUUUCUUAAAAUAGCCCUUGUCUAGGGUUUCUGGCACAGAGCUCCCAAAGCCUUUAGAAUUUCCUGAGUAACAGAGGUGAGAGGAAUGUCUUUUGCUGUUCUUAAGGAGCCCCUUUCACCCAUAUCUCAGUUUAUGCUAAUAAGACUACUCUUGGAGGACCCCUGGAUAGCUUCAAGAUGGGGGCUGGUCACCAGAAAGACUAAGCCUUUGUUAUAAGCUUGGAGUUUUCAACUAACCUCGGGGAGGGGAGAGAUGUUGGAGAUUGAGUCCAAUCUCCAAUGGCCAAUAAUUUACUCAAUCAUGUCUACAUAAUGAAAUCUCCAUAAAAACCCCUAAACAAUGAGUUGAGAGGCUUCCAAGUUUGCAAACACUUCCAUGUGCCAAGAGGAUGGUGCACCUCAACCCCGUGGAAACAGAGAUUCCUGCACUUGGGACCUCACCCUAUGUACCUCUUCAUCUGACUGUUCAUUUGCGUCCUUUAUAAUCAACUUUAAUAGUAAAUAGAAUGUUUGCAUGAGUUCUAUGAGUCAUUCUAGCAAAUUAUUGAACCUGAACCUGAGGCAGGGGGAGGGUGAUGGAAAUCCUCAACUUUGUAGCCAAGUUGGAAGAAAUGGAACUGGUCACUUGCAAUUGGCAUCUCAGAUGAGGGCAGUCUUGGGAGACCAAGCCCUUAAACCUUUGGAGUCAGAGACUUACUCCAGGUAGUUAAUGUCAAAAUUGAAUUGUAGGACACCCAGUUGGUGUCAGAGAAUUGGUUGGUUAGAGAUAAAAACCCUGUAAAUGUCGAGGGUGCCCAAGAACCAGACUGUGAAAGACCUUACAGGCUAUGAAGAGAAGUUUGGAUUCUAGUCUAAGUAAUUGCUUUUGUAUCAUUUGUAUUUUUGGAAUACAACUCAGUAACCAUCUCUUUACAUACACGAAUUCCUUUAUUUUCAACAUUCACAAUGACUCUUUGAGAUCAGUAUCAUCAUGCCCAUUUUACAAUUAAGAUAAAAGUAAGGCUCAGAAAUCAUGGGUAGCUUACACACGGUAUGCAAAUUGGAAUGGACAUUUGAAUUCAGUCCUGCCUGGCAAUGACCUGACAAGGACAGUGGCAGGGAUAAGGGCGGACAUCUCCCCUGGCUGCACAUGGCUUCUUUGAAAAGCAGCAAUAAGAAUGUGCACUGGUGAAGUUCACAACAGGAGGCCACUGCUCAGAGAUUUCCCCUGGAGUCUCUCUGAAUCUGCUGUGAUUCUGGGGGCUGCCCAAUUCGCAAAU